UCCUACGGGAGGCAGCAGUGGGGAAUCUUGCGCAAUGGGCGAAAGCCUGACGCAGCAACGCCGCGUGCGGGAAGACGGCCUUAGGGUUGUAAACCGCUUUCAGGGGGGACGAAGCUUCCGAGGUUAAUAGCCUACGGGGUGACGGUACCCCCAGAAGAAGCCCCGGCUAACUACGUGCCAGCAGCCGCGGUAAUACGUAGGGGGCGAGCGUUGUCCGGAAUCAUUGGGCGUAAAGCGCGUGUAGGCGGCUUGGCAAGUCUGGUGUGAAAUCUUGGGGCUCAACCCCAAGCGUGCACUGGAAACUGCCUCGCUAGAGUCCGGGAGAGGAGAGCGGAACUCCCAGUGUAGCGGUGAAAUGCGCAGAUAUUGGGAAGAACACCGAUGGCGAAGGCAGCUCUCUGGAACGGUACUGACGCUGAGACGCGAAAGCGUGGGGAGCGAACAGGAUUAGAUACCCUGGUAGUCCACGCCGUAAACGAUGGGCACUAGAUGUGGGCGGUGUCGACUCCGUCCGUGUCGAAGCUAACGCAUUAAGUGCCCCGCCUGGGGAGUACGGCCGCAAGGCUAAAACUCAAAGGAAUUGACGGA
rnacentral:rRNA from 1 species